rnacentral:rRNA from 1 species
GUGGAGCCGUAGCGAAAGCGAGUCUUAAAUGGGCGCUUAAGUUACUUGACGUAGACCCGAAACCGGGCGACCUAUCCAUGAGCAGGUUGAAGCGAAAGUAAAAUUUCGUGGAGGACCGAACCCACGAGCGUUGAAAAGCUCGGGGAUGACUUGUGGAUAGCGGUGAAAUUCCAAUCGAGCCCGGAGAUAGCUGGUUCUCCCCGAAAUAGCUUUAGGGCUAGCCUCAAGCGUAGAGAGGCGGAGGUAGAGCACUGAAUGUCCUAGGGGGUAUUGCACUUACCGAAGACUAUCAAACUCCGAAUGCCGUUUUCUUUUACUUGGGAGUCAGACUGUGGGUGAUAAGAUUCAUAGUCAAAAGGGCAACAGCCCAGAUCGUCAGCUAAGGUCCCUAAAUGUACGUUAAGUGGUAAAGGAUGUGGGAUUGCACAGACAACCAGGAUGUUGGCUUAGAAGCAGCCACUCAUUUAAAGAGUGCGUAAUAGCUCACUGGUCGAGUGAUCCUGCGCCGAAAAUUUCCGGGGCUAAAACGUACUACCGAAGCUACGAUAUCAGCAAUGAUAGGUAGGGGAGCUUCGUAUACAGGCUGAAGCAUGACCGUAAGGACAUGUGGACAGUAUACGAGUGAGAAUGUUGGCAUGAGUAGCGAGACGUGGGUGAGAAUCCCACGGGCCGUAAACCCAAGGUUUCCAGGGGAAGGUUCGUCCGCCCUGGGUUAGUCAGGACCUAAGCCGAGGCCGAAAGGCGUAGGUGAUGGACAACAGGUUGAUAUUCCUGUACCGCCAAUAAGCGUUUGAGAAAUGGGAUGACACAGUAGGAUAAGCUAACCACACUGUUGGUUAUGUGUGGCUAAGUACUGAGGCAGUCAAGAUAGGCAAAUCCGUCUUGAUGUUAAUGCUGGGGUACGAUGGGGAGCGAAAUUAAGUAGCGAAGUAGCUGAUUUCACACUGUCGAGAAAAGUCUCUAUCGAGUUUAAAGGCGCCUGUACCUCAAACCGACACAGGUGGGUGAGGAGAGUAUCCUAAGGCCAGCGAGAGAACUAUUGUUAAGGAACUCGGCAAAAUGACCCCGUAACUUCGGGAGAAGGGGUGCCAUCUUCGGAUGGCCGCAGAGAAUAGGCCCAAGCGACUGUUUACCAAAAACACAGGUUUCUGCUAAGUCGCAAGACGAUGUAUAGGAGCUGACGCCUGCCCGGUGCUGGAAGGUUAAGGGGAUCUGUUAGAGCAAUCGAAGCAGUGAACUUAAGCCCCAGUAAACGGCGGCCGUAACUAUAACGGUCCUAAGGUAGCGAAAUUCCUUGUCGGGUAAGUUCCGACCCGCACGAAAGGCGUAACGAUUUGGGCACUGUCUCAACAAUAGACUCGGUGAAAUUGUAAUCCCGGUGAAGAUGCCGGGUACCUGCGACAGGACGGAAAGACCCCAUGGAGCUUUACUGUAGCUUGACGUUGGGUCUUGGUACUACAUGUACAGGAUAGGUGGGAAACUAUGAAGCAUGGACGCCAGUCUGUGUGAAGUUUACCUUGGGAUACCACCCUUGUAGUACUGGGAUCCUAACCAUAGGCCUUGAAUCAGGUCUUGGGACACCGUCAGGUGGGCAGUUUGACUGGGGCGGUCGCCUCCUAAAGAGUAACGGAGGCGCUCAAAGGUUCUCUCAGCACGGUCGGAAAUCGUGCGUAGAGUGUAAAGGCAGAAGAGAGCUUGAUUGCAAGACAUACAGGUCGAGCAAGGACGAAAGUCGGACUUAGUGAUCCGGUGGUACCGCAUGGAAGGGCCAUCGCUCAACGGAUAAAAGCUACCCUGGGGAUAACAGGCUUAUCUCCCCCAAGAGUCCACAUCGACGGGGAGGUUUGGCACCUCGAUGUCGGCUCAUCACAUCCUGGGGCUGUAGUAGGUCCCAAGGGUUGGGCUGUUCGCCCAUUAAAGUGGUACGCGAGCUGGGUUCAGAACGUCGUGAGACAGUUCGGUCCCUAUCCGUCGCAGGCGUAGGAAAUUUGAGGAGACCUGUCCUUAGUACGAGAGGACCGGGAUGGACGUACCUCUGGUGUACCAGUUGUUCUGCCAAGGGCAUCGCUGGGUAGCUAUGUACGGAAUGGAUAAGCGCUGAAAGCAUCUAAGCGCGAAGCCGACUUCAAGAUAAGAUUUCCCACCGUAAGGGUAAGACCCCAGGAAGACUACCUGGUUGA